CCUACGGGAGGCUGCAGUGAGGAAUAUUGGUCAAUGGCCGAGAGGCUGAACCAGCCAAGUCGCGUGAGGGAUGACGGCCCUACGGGUUGUAAACCUCUUUUGCCGGGGAGCAAAGAACGGGACGCGUCCCGCCCCGAGAGUACCCGGAGAAAAAGCAUCGGCUAACUCCGUGCCAGCAGCCCCGGUAAACGGGGGAUGCGAGCGUUAUCCGGGUUUAUUGGGGUUAAAGGGGGCGCAGGCGGAAGCACAAGUCAGCGGUAAAAUUGAGAGGCUAAACCUCUUCCAGCCGUUGAAACUGCGUUUCUUGAGUGGGUGAGAAGUACGCGGAAUGCGUGGUGUAGCGGUGAAAUGCAUAGAUAUCACGCAGAACUCCGAUUGCGAAGGCAGCAUACCGGCGCCCAACUGACGCUCAUGCACGAAAGUGUGGGUAUCGAACAGGAUUAGAUACCCUUGUAGUC
rnacentral:rRNA from 1 species